rnacentral:rRNA from 1 species
AUUGAACGCUGGCGGCAGGCCUAACACAUGCAAGUCGAACGAGCGGCGGACGGGUGAGUAAUGUCUGGGGAACUGCCCGAUGGAGGGGGAUAACUACUGGAAAAGGUAGCUAAUACCGCAUACUAUCGGAUGUACCCAGAUGGGAUUAGCUAGUAGGUAGGGUAAUGGCUUACCUAGGCGACGAUCCCUAGCUGGUCUGAGAGUAUGAUCAGCCACACUGGAACUGAGACACGGUCCAGACUCCUACGGUAGGCAGCAGUGGGGAAUAUUGCACAAUGGGCGCAAGCCGGAUGCAGCCAUGCCGCGUGUAUGAAGAAGGCCCUAGGGUUGUAAAGUACUUUCAGUCGGGAGGCGUUACCGACAGAAGAAGCACCGGCUAACUCCGUGCCAGCAGCCGCGGUAAUAC